rnacentral:rRNA from 1 species
AUUGAACGCUGGCGGCAGGCCUAACACAUGCAAGUCGAACGGUAACAGGAAGCAGCUUGCUGCUUUGCUGACGAGUGGCGGACGGGUGAGUAAUGUCUGGGAAACUGCCCGAUGGAGGGGGAUAACUACUGGAAACGGUAGCUAAUACCGCAUAACGUCGCAAGACCAAAGAGGGGGACCUUAGGGCCUCUUGCCAUCGGAUGUGCCCAGAUGGGAUUAGCUAGUAGGUGGGGUAACGGCUCACCUAGGCGACGAUCCCUAGCUGGUCUGAGAGGAUGACCAGCCACACUGGAACUGAGACACGGUCCAGACUCCUACGGGAGGCAGCAGUGGGGAAUAUUGCACAAUGGGCGCAAGCCUGAUGCAGCCAUGCCGCGUGUAUGAAGAAGGCCUUCGGGUUGUAAAGUACUUUCAGCGGGGAGGAAGGGAGUAAAGUUAAUGCCUUUGCUCAUUGACGUUACCCGCAGAAGAAGCACCGGCUAACUCCGUG